ACUCCUCACCCCACCCCCCCUCCCCCCCCGGCUCAGUCGUGUGUCCUGUUAGCUAAUGACAGCGGUCUCGUGUGUGCGCCGAUGAGCAAGUCCUUGGUCUCCAGCAAAUAGUAUCGAUCUUCUCGCAGACUUGGGGGGCGGGGGGUGGCUAUUGUUGUCGCAGGGGUGAUCCCCCCGUCGCCUGCCUUGCCUCGCUCCCUGCGGCGCUGGCAGUGCUCUCUGCGCGGCGGCUCCCCGGUCGAUGCCUCUGCUCCGCGCCGAGGAACGGUGCGCGCACCGCGGCCGCUGUUGAUUUCGGGCAGAUAAACUUUCAAGUUUGGGAGACGUGCGGGUCACCCGGCAGCUCCUCCUACUUUCCUCCUCCUCCUCCGCCUCCCGUGCCGCGCUGCCCGGGCUGCCGCCGGGGCUGCCCCCGGCCCCGCAGCCCGAUCAACUCCCCCGCCGUCUCCGAGCCUCCCUCUCUGCACGCACUUUCCUAACAGCGGCUUUUCUCCCAUGCCCCCCACCCACCCUUUUUUUGUAAAAUUGAGUGGGGGGGAGGCUUCCCUCCCCGCCGCCCCUUUCCACCCCCGCUCUCCACUCUACCGCAUUGCAAGUUGCCGGGGAGCCGGGCCGAACCUCCCCCGCCCCGUCCCGCCGCCUCGCGUCCCCUCCCGCCCCGUCCGUCCCACGGGGAGGCGGGCGGCCCAGUCGCCGCGCAGCAGCUCCAACUCCCCGGCAGCUGCCACGAGUUGCCCCUUCCCGCCGCCGUCCCUGUCCGCCUGCCCCUCUGCUGAGGCGGGCGGGGAGCGCGGCCAGCCGGUCUCCCAUGGCAGGGACCCGCCGCUAGGAUGUACCCCACAGUCGGUGAUCGCCACCGCGCAGGGUUACGCAGUGCGCGCACUGCCCGGGAGCGCGGCUCUGUGCCUGUGUGUGGUUUGGGGGCGGGAGGCUGCUCCGGCGGACCCUGCCACCCUCUCCGCUGUUUUGUUUUGGGGUUGUUUUGCAUGCUUUUUUUAACUGUUAGUUGCAGACCGGGCCCUGCGCGUUGCUCGGCCCGUUCCCCGCCCCGUGCUGCGCUUGGCAGAGCGGCCCCAGCUCCGGCCGUCGCCGGGGCGCGGAGGCGCAGCUCACCUUGCCGGGCGGCAACAGGCAAGCUCCGUGUAUGGGGCCGGGGAUCAGGGAUUUUCUCCUAAUACCCCCACCCCGGUCCGUGUAAUCCAGCCCUAGUCCUUAAAACACACUAACCCUGUCUUCUUUGGGAAACUCCUCUGUGUAAACUUUCCCUGCUGAUAGCUCGCUUUAUCUCGUGCGUUGUGAUACCGUGUCUCUGGGGUUUCGGUUUAUUCCUCGCUUUUAUGUUGGUAGGCAAAUCAAAUAAAGUUAGAGCCGACAGUUUAAGCCACUCCGGAUAGUUUGCUAACACGCAAACCAUCAGCGAUUUCUGUGCUGGAGGUAUUCGUUAGAAAAGCGCACGGCCCUGAAGGGUAACAAUACUGAAACGCCAAGUCAAUGCCUUUUAGAUAUUAGACGAGGAUACUUCUCAGUCCUUCGUUUAGCGAGAUGUUUACACGAGACCCUUCGCAAUGAUUGCCCACUUCAUGAUUAAAAAACUUGUUUGGUGCUUACAAAUUCUAAUACAUCUUCUCUCCGUCUGUCCAUCCUUGCUGAAACUUUGGUCGCACAAAGAGUGUCUCAUUUAAAAUACCUGGAGACGAUCGUGAUGGCUGAAAUCUGACGUGAUUUUCUAAUACGAUGUGUGAGGGAACGACUUCAUUAAUCAAGGUUUUUUUUUUUUUUCUUUUUUCUUUUUUUUCCCCCGUCAGAAGUAGGAAUUUAUUGCACCCGGCGUACACGAAUAACACGUUAUUUGUGUGUAUAUGCUGCAUUAUAUUGUAGGGAGAAUGCAGGUGAAAGGGAGCGUCUGCGGGCGUUCAGGUAACACUCAGCACCGCUGCCGCGAGUGGGGAGCUGGGGCUAGGGCUUCUCCUUCCACGGCAGAAAGGUACAUUCUCUGAUUUGCUUUGGGUGCAGGGCCUCAGCUACCCCCUGUGACUGAAACAUUUGCCUGGAAUAAGAGGGGACACACUUUAACCUCACCCAGGCAUUUUUUUUUUUUCCAAUUGUAGUAGUACCAGUCAUCUUUUAAAAGGAUUUGUUGCUGUUACUCAGGCAACAUUUUUUUUCCCCCUAAACUUUGACGUUUUCUGUUUGCUCAGUGCCUGGUAGUUCCCCAGGAGCAGGCGAUUUCUUGAAGAACGUUUUAAAAGUGUCUUUCUUAUAGCGCGAUGUGGGGGGAGGGCGGAGAAAGGCAGGUCAUUGACAGCAUUAUAAAAACAAAACUUUGUCCAUGAUAUAAAAUAAAAUGAUUGAAAAUUAAUAUGAUUUUGCGGAACGUGAGAGAAUCUUUAAGUGGAAAAUUAAAUAAUCCCGUCUUUAAUGUUUAAUGAACAAUGGAGAACACAACAGGCAAGAAAGGCAUAAUUACCAGAUUUGUAUCUCUUGACAUUAACAUAUUCUAGGGUUACAAGAUUAUGGUUUUCUUUCCUCUUACUCGGCUCUCCUUCACACUUUUUCUCUUGGAGAAAAGCUCGCCGCUAUGCGCGGGGGUCGCUGAGCACCCACGCCGGGGACGUGCCGCCGAGCUCCGGCUGCGGCACCGCCGGCACGUACCGCCGGGUCCGGUGCAAAUCGCCGGGGGAAACUUUCUACCCGACCUGUGUGGAAAACCUUGACAGUGCAAAGAUCUCGGGAGGCGAGUGGAAAGUUAUGAAGUGAAACGUGUCUCCCCGGCCCCUGACUCCCCCCGCUCCCGGUUCCCCAUUACACCGCAAAGUUUUCCACGGACCUUUUAAUUAAUCUUCCUGACUUGAGGGGGGAAGAAAUAAUGAUGAUGCAUUCGCUGAAGUUGGGCUGCGAAAAACGCGGCCAUGCGGGGCAGGGGGAUAAGGGGGGGAGAUCGGUUAGCCGCGUAACUGUCUGCGCGCCCACGUACUUAGGAGCGCGCAGAGGAGCGGGAGCCGCGGCACCGCGCGUAUGCGCGACAGCUGUGGGGCCGGCAAUCACGCGUUUCCCGUCGCAAACCGCGUCCGCUCGCGUGCCCCUCGCCGUGAAUAAAAUGCUGUACUAGCGAUGGCGAGUAAAAGAAGUUUACCUCUCCGUAAUUAAUUCUAAUUUGUUAAUUGUCUUCCAAUUUUGCGAUGUUGCUUUCAUCGUCAGAAGCGACACGUUACUAUUCUGCCUGCUUAAUAAUAUUAUUUACCAAAUAGUACUUUAUUUUUUACAUUGAUAGGACACCUAGUUACGCGUUUGCUUUAAUUUUUAAUCCUUAUUCAGUGUCAAUAAAAACGUUCAGAAAGCUUUUCUACAAGAUCGGCUCUACAAAAACCAUAUAUGUAGUUCUGUCUACACUUAGGUACAACGUGGUUGUUCUUAAGUCCAUCAAAGCUACCAACAGGCGGAUAAGAUAGAUCUGACGUUUGGUGUAAUCCAUCUACUGUCUUUUAUAGUUAUUAUUUUGCUCAGCAACUUUAUUUGAAGGGGCGUGUAAUAAUUUGGGCUUUAUUUUCUAUCAUUUUAUACUCUUCCUGGCAAGCUGAAGUAGCGUCUUCCGACCCCCUUUCUGCACGACGACUUUUGCCUGAGGACCCUGGGGUUAAAACCAGCACAAUUUUCUCUGUUUAAACUGCAACAACUAACCGCUAAUUCGUUCUCACAUGAGCAAAGAUAUUACCAUACUAAUAUUAUUAUUGGUAAGAAGAGGUAAUUGAUAACACCACCUGCCACUCUGCAGCAAUCACGAUGAUAAAUGUUUCCAUCAGAGGGAAAUCUGUGCUUGGUCUACCACAGCCUAACCCAAACAGCAUGUCAAAUGUCAAUUAUAAAGAUAUUUUUUUUUUUUUGUAAAGCAACUAGCCCCACCACAAGAUUUACAGAACCAGUCUACAGCAAAACCGUGCCUAAAUGUUUUGCUUUGAGCAUGUAAGUUACUUUUCCUUUUAUUUAAUAUCAUGCCACCCUUGGAGCUAAAUAAACAUGAUUCAUACACACAAAAGCUUAUGCUCACACUUAGCAAACUCCAAUUACCAUCCACUUCCAUUCUUUAAUUUAACAGAUGAUACAUUAAUUUCACCAACAAUUUUCAAUACUCUGUGGAAUAUUUGUAAUACACAUAGUUAUGGGGACAUUAUCAAGGCAACAAACAUUUAAACUCACACAUACAUGUCAUGCACACAUAUAGAUGUGUAGAUGCUAUAUAAUUAAACCACUGUAAUUGUAUUACAACGUGUGUUAGCACAUACUCCACAAAGUAUACAAGAGUGCAUAUGAAAGCAGUGCUUUUAGCCCCUUUGCAAAAAUCUGUAUCCUUCUGAAAAUGACAAGUGACAUUAAUAUUAAAAUGUAUAUAUAUGCAUACCACACACAAACAAUGUAAGAUUGUUCACUAACUCUAGCUAUAUAAAUAGUGAUGCCAAUUAUAAAAACUUUCAUCCCCUUGGCUACAGAUAUGCUCAGACGAUUAUUAUUAGUUUGUAUUAAUAGAUGCAGGCCUCAAAAGACGAAAUCAGCUAUUGAUAAUUGCAAGAAGUAUACAGCAGCUACUGUAUCGAUCGGCUUGUCCCUUAUUCCCCUGGUAAAGGAGAGAUAAGAAGACACACUCUUUAGUGCAAUAUAAUUUCUUUUGACCUAUCUGCUUGCUACAGACUUAUGAUGAAUAGCCGGAGUGGUUAAAGUCCUUUAUCACGAAAGUUACCCCUUGAUAUAAUAUUGAUUCUUUAUAACUAGCUCCAAACACAAAAAUCAAACUGUCCACUUGACCAUCAUCAUCAUCAAUAUCAUCACAAAGGCUCCGGAAUAAGGAUCAGCACAGGACUGAAAACGCUUUCUAUAAUCUGCCCACCUAAUCUUUAUUUGCUGAUGAUGAAAAGAAAAGGGUUGUGAGUGCGUGUAUGUGUGUGUGCACGCCGCGGGGGCGGGGGCGAGCGGAACAGGGAAUGUCAUCUGAACAAAUAAUAAAAAAAAAAAGGUUAAGAAAAAAGACCGUUCCGCCUCCUUCAAAAGAAACCGAAUGAUGAUCACCGACAUUAACGAUCACGCUUCGAAGCCCCGUUCUCCUGAAGGAGGGGAAUCAAAUGCGGAAAAGGCCCGACGUGAUAUUAUACUCGGGUGUCAUCCCCUCCCCCCCCCCCCCCGCCCCCCGCCCCGAGUGAAGCGGUCUGCGGUGAAUGUAGAGAGUUACAAAAGAAGCAAUCCCGGCUGGAGUGAUGUCAGGCAGCAUUCUCCUUGGUAAGAGUCAGGACUAACAAGUCGUCUUCUCACUUUCCCUCCUUUCGCCGGUCCACGGAGCGAUCCAUCAUUUAAUUCCAGAUCACCCGGUGAUCCAUUAGAAAGAAAGAAAAAAAAAAAAAAAGAACAAGGAAAAAAAAAGACUAGGAAACGAGCCGCUGAUGUUUGGGUUGAUGUCUAAUACGCAAUAUCUAUAGAGUGAUGUAGAAAAGGACGAGCGUAAUCCACAUGUAUAUUGCCUUAAAUUAACGGUAUUUCCUUUGCCUUCCCUCUCCAUAGUACCAGCAUGCUUUUUGCUCGGGGUUGCAUUAGCAAAAUCACCAGUAAUUACAAGCGUGUGUACACUGGGAGAAUUAAAAUUGGGAAGGUGGGAGGCAGGACGUGAUUCCCCUUUGGAGCAAUCAGGAAUGGGAAAGGUUUCGUUCCAUGCAAACGGUACGUUGAUCACAUUUAAUGGGCUAGUUAGACUCACAUUCAAGCCGAGGUGCCAUUUCAGCGCAAGUUUGCGCUUUUCAGGCGAGCAGGGGAAGCGGGGGGAGGGAAGGAAAAGGAUGAAAGCGGCCACGGCAGUUGAAGUUCUAUUCAGUCCUUCCGGCGCCCCGAAGGAGAAAGGCUCCAAGGAGAAUACCCUUGCUACCACGGGCACCUUUUGGGGAAAACGGGAAGGAGGUGCAGCGCCGGGCAGACCAGAGACAGCUCCGGCCGCGCCAGGGGAUGAGCCGCGCAGCGGGGCGCCGGCCCUGCCCCGCCCGGGGGAAACCGGGCCGGACCGUGCCGCAGGGAGCCGAACUGAACCGGGCCGCAGGGACGCUCCCCGGGACGCGCCGAAGCGCCGCUGCGACGGCUGCUGCCGCUCUCCCGUCGCACCACGCGUGCGGCGGAGGCAGCCCCUGCUGAGCCACACGGUUCUUCGGAGUAGCCGGUGCCACACGGGGGCCACCGGCGCUGUAGCAGCCCCGCCGUCGCCCGGGACCCCGCUCUGCUGCCGCCAACUUUGCCCGACUUGGCAGAUUUCGCCCUGCCCCCCUUCGCCCACGUCCAGCAGCCUCGGCCUGCGCAGCCUUGGGGCCGCCUCUUCCACUGGGUGGAAGCGGAGCUGGAAGAAGUGGGAGUCGCGGGCGGCCGCAAUGCUUCCACCCGUGGCGCAAGAAGGAUCACGGAGGUGGCAGCGGUGAAACCUAGGAGCUUCGACACUGGGAGCCUCGAUCAGGCGCCUGCCCUUCCCCAGGCCCCCUCCUCCCGCGUACUGGGGCCAGAGCCCCCACCCGUGGGAGCAAUAACGGCAACAAUUACCAUCAUUGCACUUUCAUCCCUUCCCACACGGGAGGCUUCGUUCUCUCUAUGAGCGGCUCAUAAUUACGGAUUUUAAAAGCUUUUGUCCCUCCCACUACGUCCUCAGGACCCUCUCUCUCCGCUCCUUCUCCCCACUGAAAUAACGUACUGGGUCAUCAGAAAAAAAAAAAAAAAAGAAAAAAAAGAAAAAAAAAAGAGGAGGGCAAGGAUGUACUGAAUAUCGAGAUCCAUUGAGGCUAGGGAGAGGUGUGUGUCUGUGUGACCUGAUGAGGAGCAGAAGAAUUGUUCACUGAUAUUGUUAGAGGAUGAAACGAGUCAAUCAAAAAAAUAGAAAAAGAGGACAGCCUUUUGCUCGGGUUAUGCCACAUGACUUGAUAUUAAUUAUGAAACAGACAUCACAAGUGCAUACAGGAUAACAGAGGGUGUUCUUAAGAUUUCAGUGCCUUUGGGGAUAACAAGAGGCAAGGUUUCCCAGCAGAUAGUCUAACACGUGGUGGUCUUUUCCUAAAAACAGAUGGUGACAGAAGGAAAAAAAAUGAAGAAGUGGAAAUGGGCAAGUGUAUCACGCUGGCUGGUGGGAGAGGGGCAGAAGGGUGCUAUCACCUUUAAAGUACUGGUUGUGUAAACAAGGAGAGAUUGUGCUAGCAGACUCCUGAAGCAUCCAGGGCCUGGCCUGCCCACAAGGCUAUGGUCAGCAGCAGAGCUAAUACUCCAGCACUGAGCAGAAAUACAACAUGAUUGUUCAGCAUUGGAUACUUCAUGAAGGAGAAGGCAGAGGAGAGCACUGCACAAAGUUUGGAUUUUUUUGUACGACCUCCUGGACCUACUGAUUUUCAGUUUUUCCGCGAGCUCCCAGACUCUAAGGCUCUUGCAAAGGAGGGUUGUGCUGAGGCUCAGAUUGUUCUGCUAGACACUGCAAGGGAGGACCUCCAUCAGAUAAACGGGAUGCAAGUGAUUCCUGAGGAACAAUGUGCUCCACCAUCAUGUUAUUUUCUGAAUGGACAACACCAUCAAGGUUUCUUUUAUUUUUCUUUUUAUUUUUUUUUUUCCCUCUAAGCAUUGUUACAAUGUUGUAACCUACCAAACAGUGUUGUAACCUACCAAGAAUUAAAGCAUUUUUCUCUCCAUCCAUGAACCUGUGUUUUAUG